GUCUGCAUUUGGCCAAAACGUUAGAUAUGACUCGGGAAAAGCCAAAGAGAAAGUAAUAAAGAUGAAUGAGUCAUUGCUGCAGAUUUGGGGUCAUGUAUCCUACCUGAGUUUAUGCAUUAAGGAUGCUCCUGUGUUAAGCGUUAUGCAAGGUGAAACUAAAGAAAUACAAAAACAUCAUACCCAGUGUAGUCCCACAAGUGUGGUCUAGGGAGGGUAGGAUGUACACAAACCUUACCCCUCCCUACCUUUGUAGGGUAGAGAGCUGUUUCUAAUAGACCCUCAGCUCAAAAGAGGUGAAACUAAAGAAAUAUUGUGGAUAAUUCGUUGUACGAAGUUUUACUCACUUAAAUCCAACUAAAAAUCUUGUACUUCUUAUACACGUGCCACUCUUUUGUACUUCUUACGACUUGGGAAGUACCUCCAAAUAAUAGAAUACAAAUAUGGAGCGGAUAACAGCACUAGAUGAAUAACCUCUCCUACAACUGUCCUUGCAAUUUAGUCAUUAUGAGAGAGAUAAUGAAGGGAUGGGAGGACUUCGACAAAACAUUCAACAUAUUUGCUUGGGAGGGGCGGUAGGAUAAGAUUGUGGUAUCAGACUUCGGUUAUACACCAUUAAGGUCAGAGCUAGCAGAUAUUUUUUAUCUCCAGUGAGAAAAAUGCAAGUGUGGCUAAUGAAAUUAGAGAGAUGGUGUCCGGGGCAUUUGAGGUAUCCAGCUUCGAAGGCACAUAUGAGACUUGAGAUGGUUCAAAUGAUAAUAGAUACUAACUUGCCUGCAUCAAACAAAACGAUCAAGAAGACAGGUGGAUUUGGAAAGGGAAUGCUAGAAAGUUCACCAUCAAAUCAUAUACAUAUUCUCUUAAGAGGGAAGAGCCAUCUUUAAAAACUAAGGAUAAAUAGAAUACAUAUUUGCUGCUGUUAUUUUGUCCAAGCAAGUUGAAGAUGUCAAUCAUUUGCUCAUUCACUGGACUACCAACCAGUGGAAUCUCCUUUUAGCGAUUUCGGGUGCCCUUUAAAGUAUAAGUUCUAUAUAAAUUAAAGACACAAAAGUUCUGCCCUUUUGGCAGCUAUGCAAGUCAAUUAUCUUAUUA